rnacentral:rRNA from 1 species
UGAACGCUGGCGGCAUGCCUAACACAUGCAAGUCGAACGCGAAAACGCCUUCGGGCGUGAGUAGAGUGGCGGACGGGUGAGUAACGCGUGGGAAUCUACCUUGUAGUGGGGGACAACCCGGGGAAACCCGGGCUAAUACCGCAUACGACCUACGGGAGAAAGAGGGCCUCUGCAUGCAAGCUCUCGCUAUGAGAUGAGCCCACGUCCGAUUAGCUAGUUGGUAGGGUAAAAGCCUACCAAGGCGACGAUCGGUAGCUGGUCUGAGAGGAUGGCCAGCCACACUGGGACUGAGACACGGCCCAGACUCCUACGGGAGGCAGCAGUGGGGAAUAUUGGACAAUGGGCGCAAGCCUGAUCCAGCAAUGCCGCGUGUGUGAAGAAGGCCUGCGGGUUGUAAAGCACUUUCAGUGGGGAAGAAAAGCCUGGGGUGAAUACCCUCGGGUCUUGACGUUACCCACAGAAGAAGCACCGGCUAACUCC